UACGAAGGGGGCUAGCGUUGCUCGGAAUUACUGGGCGUAAAGCGCACGUAGGCGGCUUUGUAAGUUAGAGGUGAAAGCCCGGGGCUCAACCCCGGAAUUGCCUUUAAGACUGCAUCGCUAGAAUUGUGGAGAGGUAAGUGGAAUUCCGAGUGUAGAGGUGAAAUUCGUAGAUAUUCGGAAGAACACCAGUGGCGAAGGCGACUUACUGGACACAUAUUGACGCUGAGGUGCGAAAGCGUGGGGAGCAAACAGG
rnacentral:rRNA from 1 species